rnacentral:lncRNA from 1 species
GCAGUAUUUUGGACAUGGCUCAGAGCACAGGUGAUUGUUCUUUCAUUCCGAGGGCUGUAUCACCAAUAAUCUAAGCUCCAUAGCCUGAGCUCUGCUGUUUCAACUUCUCAGUAGGCCCACAGCCAACCCUUUCUCUUGCCAUAGCUGCUUCUGUGGUUUUUCUUCAUCUGUACACUGUGGCCUCAUGUCCUUAGACUCCCUGACUUGUUUCUAGAUUUCUAGAAGAUUUCUAGAAUAGCUCAGUCCUCAAAAACAAACUAAAGCAAAAACAGAAGGUCCCUUCUGUGAUGGUGCUGAGCUGGCACAUUCUGAGCUAUAGGGGCAGCAGUAAGUUGAUCUUGUCCAGUGCUAGUCUGUCAUUACAGGAGGGAUCGCUGUCACAAAUACUUCUCUGCACUGGAUUUAAGGCUUCUGAGAGGUGUUGUUCUCUCUGGUAGUUAAGACUGUUAGUUUGUUGUCACAGAGCUGCAAGUCUUAGCUUUUGGUUUUGUCUUCAGCCUCUCACCCUGGGUUGAUAGACAGAAUCGGAGGAGUAAUUUACAGACUGCCUUCUGCAUUUCUUAGGUUGCCUUUCUGGUUCCCAUGCCUUUUAGCUGUCUUGUCACUUCCAUGUUGAUUCCAAUCUAUUCCUCAGAACUUUCUUCUCUCUCACAGAAUCCCAUAAAGGAACAUCUUCACCCUCAUACUUAUACUGAGUAUGGAUAUUUUUGUUUUCAUCAAUAAGUUUUAGAUUUUGUGAAAUACUUUUUCUGCAUCUUUGCAUGAUUUUGUUUUAUAUUUUAAUAAUAUGUAUUCUGUUGCUUGAUUGAUGUUCAGCUAUUAAACCAACCUUGCAUUCCUGAUAUAAAUCCUACUUAGUCAUAGUAAGUAAUUUUAUAUAUACUUCCAUUCUGGUUUACUUUCUAUUGCUGUGGUAAACUCCAUGACCAAAACUAGCUUGGGGAGAACAGCUUUAUUUGACUUACAUGUCCAUCAUUGAGGGAAGCCAAGGGAGUAAGCAUUAGCUCAAGUAGGGGAGGAGCCUGAAGCAGAAACCAUAGAACAGUGCUGCUUGCUGUCUUGGCACUUCAUGGUUCACUUAGGAUCUCAGUAUGUAGUUCUGAUUGUCUUGGAACUUACUAUGUAGGCCAGGCUGGCCUGGAACUCAGAUCUGUUUGUCUCUACCUCCCAAGUACAGGGACCAAAGGCAUUCACCUGUAUGCCCCGAUCCCCAUUUUCUCUACUUAUACAACUUAGGACCUCUUGUCCUAAGGACUUUCUUACAGUGGGCUAGACCUUCCCAAAUCAAUCAUCAUUCAAGAAAAUGCCCCCACAGAUUUGCCCUACUGGCCAGGCCAGUCUGAUAUUGCAUUUUCCCCAUUGAGGUUCCCUCUUCCUAGAUGACUCUAGCUUGUAUCAAGGUGAUAAAAAAACUAACCAAUAGCCUGGCGGUGGUGACUUACAGCUUUAAUCCCAGCACUCAGAAGGCAGUUUCUGAGUUUGAGGCUCGCCUGGUCUAUGAAGUGAGUUCUAAGACAGCCAGGGCUACACAGAGAAAAACCCUGUCUUGAAG